rnacentral:rRNA from 7 species
CCUGGCGGCAGUAGCGCGGUGGUCCCACCUGACCCCAUGCCGAACUCAGAAGUGAAACGCCGUAGCGCCGAUGGUAGUGUGGGGUCUCCCCAU